UACGUAGGGUGCGAGCGUUGUCCGGAAUUAUUGGGCGUAAAGGGCUCGUAGGCGGUUUGUCACGUCGGGAGUGAAAACUCAGGGCUUAACCCUGAGCCUGCUUCCGAUACGGGCAGACUAGAGGUAUGCAGGGGAGAACGGAAUUCCUGGUGUAGCGGUGAAAUGCGCAGAUAUCAGGAGGAACACCGGUGGCGAAGGCGGUUCUCUGGGCAUUACCUGACGCUGAGGAGCGAAAGUGUGGGGAGCGAGCAGG
rnacentral:rRNA from 1 species